UACGUAGGUGGCGAGCGUUGUCCGGAAUUAUUGGGCGUAAAGCGCGCGCAGGCGGUCCUUUAAGUCUGAUGUGAAAGCCCACGGCUCAACCGUGGAAGGUCAUUGGAAACUGGAGGACUUGAGUACAGAAGAGGAAAGCGGAAUUCCACGUGUAGCGGUGAAAUGCGUAGAGAUGUGGAGGAACACCAGUGGCGAAGGCGGCUUUCUGGUCUGUAACUGACGCUGAGGCGCGAAAGCGUGGGGAGCAAACAGG
rnacentral:rRNA from 1 species